GAACCGCGUGCCUUUUGCAUAAUGAGCCGGCUAGUUAUUUUUAGUGGCGAGGCGAAGCCGAUGAGGCGGUGCCGUAGGGAAACCGAGUCUGAAUAGGGCGACAGUCGCUGGAAAUAGACGCGAAACGGGAUGAUCUAUCCUUGACCAGGAUGAAGGUAGGGUGAAACCUAUUGGAGGUCCGAACCAGUGUGGGUUGAAAACCGCUUGGAUGAGUUGAGGAUAGGGGUGAAAGGCCAAUCAAAUUCCGUGAUAGCUCGUUCUCCCCGAAAUAGCUUUAGGGCUAGCGUCGGAUGUUUCGUCGUGCAGGUAGAGACCUGAAUGGACUAGGGGGCUUACCAGCUUACUGAAUCCAACCAAUCUUCGAAUGGCACGCCGUGAAGUCCGGCAGUCAGACUGCGGGUGAUAAGAUCCGUAGUCGAGAGGGAAAGAACCCAGAUCGCCAGCUAAGGUCCCAAAAUACAUGCUAAGUGGAAAAGGAUGUGGAUGUGCUUAGACAGCCAGGAGGUUAGCUUAGAAGCAGCUAUCCUUUAAAGAAAGCGUAAUAGCUCACUGGUCAAGCGGGUCUGUGCCGACAAUUCAACGGGGCUCAAGCAUGUUACCGAAGCUGCGAACGUAAGUGGUAGGGGAGCAUUCCCUACGUCUGUGAAGGUUGACCGUAAGGACAGCUGGAGACAUGGGAAGAGACUCUGUCGGCAUAAGUAGCGUAAAGACAGGCGAGAACCCUGUCCGCCGUAAGACUAAGGUUUCCAACGCAAGGUCAAUCCGCGUUGGGUUAGUCGGACCCUAAGCCGAGGCCGAAAGGCGUAGGCGAUGGAAGGCUGGUUAAUAUUCCAGCACCAUGAAUACCUCGUUUGUACGAUGCAGGGACGCAGGAAGGUAGGGACGCAGGGCUAUGGAAUGUUCUGCGAAAGGAUCCAAGGGUGGUGCUUAGGGAAGUCCGGGCGCCAUGAGCUCAAGGUUUCUGACGAAAAGUCCUAAUCCUACACUGCCGAGAAAAGCUGCUAAGGAGAGGUAUUUGUGUCCGUACCGCAAACCGACACAGGUAGUCGAGGAGAGAAUCCUCAGGCGUUUGAGAGAACUCUGCUGAAGGAACUCGGCAAAUUAACCCCGUAACUUCGGGAGAAGGGGUACCACGGUAGGGUUCAUAGCCCGAGGUGGUGGCACAUAAAUGUUCCAGGCGACUGUUUAACAAAAACACAGGUCUCUGCAAACUCCAAAGAGGAGGUAUAGGGGCUGACGCCUGCCCGGUGCCGGAAGGUCAAGAGGAGUGGUCAGCGCAAGCGAAGCUACGAAUUUAAGCCCCGGUGAACGGCGGCCGUAACUAUAACGGUCCUAAGGUAGCGAAAUUCCUUGUCGGGUAAGUUCCGACCUGCACGAAUGGCGUAACGAUCUGGGAACUGUCUCCAGCAGAGACUCAGCGAACUUGUAGCACCGGUGAAGAUGCCGGUUACCCGCACUUAGACGGAAAGACCCCGUGCACCUUUACUACACCUUGACAUUGAGGUUGGCGUUGGACUGUGCAGGAUAGGUGGGAGACUAUGAAACUGGCUCGUUAGGGUCGGUGGAGUCACCCUUGAGAUACCACCCUGUUUAACGCUGAUCUCUAACUCGCACCCGUGAUCCGGGUGGAAGACAAUGUCAGGCGGGUAGUUUGACUGGGGCGGUCGCCUCCUAAAGCGUAACGGAGGCGUACGAAGGUUCCCUCAGGCUGUUUGGAAAUCAGCCGCAGAGCGCAAUAGUAUAAGGGAGCUUGACUGCGAGUCAGACACGACGAGCAGGUGCGAAAGCAGGUUAUAGUGAUCCGGUGGUCCCGAAUGGAAGGGCCAUCGCUCAACGGAUAAAAGGUACGCCGGGGAUAACAGGCUGAUCUUGCCCAAGAGUUCAUAUCGACGGCAAGGUUUGGCACCUCGAUGUCGACUCAUCACAUCCUGGGGCUGAAGCAGGUCCCAAGGGUUCGGCUGUUCGCCGAUCAAUAGUGGUACGUGAGUUGGGUUCAGAACGUCGCGAGACAGUUCGGUCCCUAUCUAGUGUGGGCGCAGGAGAUUUGAGAGGACCUGUCCUUAGUACGAGAGGACCGGGAUGGACUGACCUCUGGUGUUCCAGUUGUGCCUCCAGGUGCAAUGCUGGGUAGCUAUGUCGGGAAGUGAGAAGCGCUGAAAGCAUCUAAGCGCGAAACACCCCUCAAGAUGAGAUCUCCCUAUGAGACCCGUGGAAGACCACCACGUUGAUAGGUCGCAUGUGUAAGGCCGGUAACGGCUUAAGCUGAGCGAUACUAAUCGGUCCACAGACUUGACC
rnacentral:rRNA from 1 species